ACAAAUCUAAUGUGUUAUGUCGAUGUCGAUAGUUGUGUUUAGUUUGUUCUCGCUGUGCCAUUCCCAGUUUACAACAAGUUCCUAAAUUUUUCCAACUAACCACAACUUCGCCACUUCAACUUUCAUGUAACUUAAUGACCGAAGAAUUAUUGAUGAAUGAAAAAAGGUUCUCCCUAAACUCAAGUUAUUGGUACUUCCAAAGCAGUUGAUGAUUUAUUAUUAUCACAGAUUGUCUUUAAGUUAGUUUACAUGGAAUUUUGAGAAUUCAUCAUGUUGACAGCAGUUUCAAUUAUUUUUUGUUCAUUUUUUAUUUAGAUUUUGCUUAAUCAACUAAAUUAAUCAUCUGGUUUUCUUUCCAAGAGAAUGUAAAAGGGCAAUUUCACGGUCCCGGGUCCCCUAAGUUCUUUGUCUGCUACCUUGAAUUUCCCUCUUUGACUUCAGGUCCACUCUUUGAGUUUAAUCCUGCGCCGCUAUUCAAUGGACUGAAUCCAUUGAACUUGGCGAGUGACGAGAGAUUAGCGACUACGUGUUGUCAUUCAGCAAUCCACUUGCGUGCCGUCCUCUUUCGUCGCUCCGGGGCAGAGGGGAGUUGAGCCUGCUCCAGCUACGCAGCCAGAAUCUUUCGACUACCCCUUAGGAUAGAUUUCAUUUACAGGUUUUUCUAAAUUUGCAUGACAGACUUUAUGAAAAGUCAUGUCCUUUGAAGAAAACGGACAGUGACUAUACAUACAUUCAAUAAGGUCCCUUGUUUGAUAACCAGUUGGCUGUUACCCUUUCACUAUGAUUUGAGGGUAACUCCGUCGUUGCUUAUCAUGGACUUCAUCCAUUGGUGAAAACUGACUAGAGAAUGCUGUAAUUCAAGACUGAUUAGUUGUGUAGUUGUUAGAUAAAUUAAAAGUGCAUAUCUGGGCUCCCUUCUUUUCUGUGGUCCCGUUUC